GGGGGUGGACCCUGUGUCUGCCUCUCCCUAACCUCAUUUAAGGCAUGGCAGCCACAAGGGAGGCAUCUCUACUUGGAGUUCAACUUCUUUGUUGCGUUUGAUUUAAAGCAGCUGUAUCUCCUACUGUUUAUGCUUACAAAGGUUAAAUUUCAGAAGAGAGAAAGAAGGACAAACAGCUUCUUUCUAUUAGAAAUACAGUUUAUCAGCAGCAUAACACACAGACAUCCUAAUGCAGAAAGCAUAAUGUAUAUGUACUGUUCGACAAUGUAAAAAUGAUGUAUGAGGAGAGGACACAGUUUAGAAGAUAAAUCGGUCUGUUUAUCAGAGUGGAUAAAAUACUUAAUUACUACUGUGCCAGGAGCAAGUUAUAAUCAGAGAAAGAACUGUGCUUCAGAGAUGAUUCUCUUUAUGAUGCUUGUCUUCAGGGACUGUUUACCUAGUCAUUUAGACCAUAGAACUCUCAGAGCUCACUAGAGUUUCCCAAUGUCUUCCUGAGAGGCUCUCUUCCAAAGUAUUUUGUGUUGCCUGUCUAGAUUUCCAAACUGAAGAAAAUGAAUUUGCAGACUCAGAAGAGUCCCUGUGGAAUGUGUGAGGGCAACUGUGUAAACACGGAACGUCUUGAAAUGGAUGACUGUCACAUCUUGUAGUUCAUGAAUUUCAUUCUGUGUCUCAAAUUUGAAGUUCUACUAAAAUUGUAGUUAAAAAAAAAAUUGUGUGAUUAUAAUCUUAGUGUCUUAACAUAACUCUAAAUAAAUACGUCAAUGAAAUAUGAUCCAAAUUGCUUAAUUAAGCCUUAUUAAUAUUAAUACACUUUGAUCACAUGCAGUAAUGCCUUUGCAAUAAUAUAUUAUGACAUUUCUUUAACAUGGAACAAAUAAUGACAUGUUCUCACAUUUUCUCACAAUGCAAGAAUUAUAGAAAGAAUAUUCAGUGACUAUAUUUUUCUAAAAAGUUUACUUCUGUAAUUCUAAUCCACUGGAACAAAAGGAAGUGGAAUCAUAGCAAAACUGUUUAACGUCAGUAGUUUGUUAAGUACAGAGUGAAAAGUUUGGACUAAAAUUGUUAUGAUUAUCAGUCCUAGGAGAAAUACUUAAUAGUUGUAUGCAGAAUUUCUUGUUGCAUAUCCACUAAUAAAUAUUUAUUUUGUGGUUUUUGUAUUCUUUCUGAGCCCUUGCAAACCAUGUUACAAAAUAAA